rnacentral:rRNA from 1 species
AUUGAACGCUGGCGGCAUGCCUUACACAUGCAAGUCGAACGGCAGCGGGCCCUUCGGGGUGCCGGCGAGUGGCGAACGGGUGAGUAAUGCAUCGGAACUUACCCGGGAGAGGGGGAUAACCGGCCGAAAGGCUGGCUAAUACCGCAUGAAAUCGGGAGAGCAAAGCGGGGGACCUUCGGGCCUCGCGCUCGCGGAGGGGCCGAUGGCCGGUUAGGCUAGUUGGUGGUGUAAGGGCCCACCAAGGCGACGAGCGGGAGCGGGUCUGGGAGGACGAUCCGCCACACUGGGACUUAGACACGGCCCAGACUCCUACGGGAGGCAGCAGUGGGGAAUCUUGGACAAUGGGCGCAAGCCUGAUCCAGCAAUGCCGCGUGGGUGAAGAAGGCCUUCGGGUUGUAGAGCCCUUUCGGCGGGGAAGAAAUCGGUCAGGCGAAUAGUCUGGCAGGAUGACGGUACCCGCAGAAGAAGCACCGGCUAACUACGUG